rnacentral:rRNA from 1 species
CCCCAGCGCCACAAGUGGGGACCAGUAUUAUUGGGCCUAAAGCGUUCGUAGUCGGUCAGGUAAAUCUUUUGUGAAAUUGCUAGGCUUAACCUAGCAGCGUGCAGAAGACACUGCUUGACUUGAGACCGGGAGGAGUAAGAGGUAUUCUAGGGGUAGCGGUAAAAUGCAAUAAUCCCUUGAGGACCACCAGUGGCGAAGGCGUCUUACUAGAACGGGUCUGACGAUUAGGAACGAAAGCCAGGGGAGCGAACCG